CUGUCUGUGAUGAUCAAGCCUUCGAGCCGUUGUGUCUGGGCCACUGAUGCCCAUGAUGGAACUGAGGAUCUGAGCAG